rnacentral:tRNA from 2 species
GGGCGAGUAGCUCAGUGGAUAGAGUCUUUAGCUACGAACUAAAAAGCCGGGGGUUCGAAUCCCUCCUCGCUCA